GGGUACAUAAGUGGCGGACGGGUGAGUAACACGUAGGAAAUCUACCUUAAGGAGGGGGACAACUUCGGGAAACUGGAGCUAAUACCCCAUAUGUGGCGAGUUGAAAUAUUUGUCAUGAAAGUUUUUGCGCCUUAAGAUGAGCCUGCGUCUGAUUAGCUAGUUGGUGGGGUAAAUGCCUACCAAGGCGACGAUCAGUAGCUGGUUUGAGAGAAUGAUCAGCCACAAUGGGACUGAGACACGGCCCAUACUCC
rnacentral:rRNA from 1 species